UUUUUUUCUCUUCUUUUCCUUCUUAUUUUUCUUCUUCUUCUCUUCUUCUCUUCUUCUCUUCUUAUCUUCUUCCCUUCUUCUUCCUCUUCUUUCUAUUAAGCUAUAACCAGUGGCAGAUGGUCUUUAUAUGAAAAGCUAAGAAUAUAGGGCUCAUCAACCGGUACACUGACUACUACAACAACUACAAUAACUACAACAACUACUACCCG
rnacentral:lncRNA from 1 species